AAACUAAACUCAUUGAAAUAGAUCCCCACUUUGUUCGAGAGAAGGUACAAGCGAGAUUGAUGCAAACAGAACAUGUAUCUUCAACAGAUCAGAUUGCAGGUAUCCUGACCAAGGCCUUGGGAAUUCAACAGCAUAAUUACUUGAUGAGUGAAUUGGUGGUUAAAAACAUAUUUCAACCACCAACUUGAGGGGGAGUGUUGAAGAAAGAAACUAUAAUUAGUUAGAAAUUAGUAGCAGUGGUUAGCUGUUAGUUUAUAAAAAUAGUUAGUCAGUUUGUAAGUAGUUAUAGUUUACAAUUUAGAUAUAUAAUGUCAUCACUUUUAAGUUAACUGAGAGGAGAUAGACGAAAGUUGAUUCUUAAUAUUCUCUCUCUAACUUCUCAACAGUUACACUGUUAUUUUUAAUCUGAGGAACUAAUAUCGAUUCUGCAUUAGGGUAAUGCCAGUAUGCCACCCUUCUGAUUCCAUAAACAUAUCUUAGUUUUUGAUCGCCUGAAUCCAACAUAAUUAUCUUGAUUUCACCAUAAAUAUACAAGUUAUAUUCUUAUAUUAAAGACAAUUUGUUAUUAAAAACAACUUCAGUCCUCAUCAACCAUGCAUACUGACAAAACUGCAGCAACCAUCGCCGUAAGCCACCUGUCUUUCUAAAACAAGCUACAGUUCAUUCGCAUAAUUUUAUUCGGGAUCACAAACCAUUUGCUUCUUUAUUGCUUCUAGUGUUCUUAAUUUCCAGAAAAUUUGCAGUACAUAAUUAUUAACAUUAAUAUAAGUCGGUAAUUAGCCUCCAUUAAAAUGGUAGGCAGCAUGCGAGGGGGGGUUGGAAAAGGAGAAGGGUAGGUUGAGGCAGGGAAGCAUGCAGGGUGGUCUAAGGGUUUGGUUGUUGAAGUCCGUAAAUCUAACCCUCAUGCGCCUUCACGAGAAAAUCAUAACACAUUUCACCUCCAAUUUUCCUGGGGUUUCUUCUUUUUCUAUUUAUAACCGGUUGCAACUCAAAUAUAAUCUUUGGCUGCUUUCUGAUUUUUGUAUAUUACCAUCUUUCCAUGCAUUUUCCCCUCCCACUAGGAAAAUAGUUGUAACUUGGUAUUGAUAGGAGAGGUCCGAUGCUUAUCAGUACAGCUCCGACGAUCGGCGGAAACAGCAUUGAUAGAAAGCUUCAUUUCUCCAGGUUAGUUUGAUAGGCAAUCUCACACACCCAUAUACAAUUCCUUGUAUGCUUUUUUCCUUUGAAAAUAAAUGUUAUGGUGAUAGUGAAAAGCUCGCUCUUAAUUUGUAUAUCCUCAACUUUCUAACUUUUAUCAUAUAUAAUUCUUUUCCAUUUAGACUAUUUAUUUUGCUACUGUGAAUAGUUCUUAUUAUAAUAUAAAGAAAAAAUCACAAUGCCAAUAAUUUUCAUAUAUAUGUGUGCAUUUUUUUAUCUUAUUUAUCUAAUGGUUUAUGAUUAUUCUAUCAACAUAUUUUUUAGGAAAAUGUUAAUAAGUUUGCAGUGAUAUUUAAAGAAAUAAAGUACCAUUGUGAUAUUGCACCACUAUUAGUAAUUUUUUAUUGCAUUCAGUACUAAAAGUAAUUAAAUGCAAAAUAUAUAUAUAUAAAAUAAUAAUAUUUUCAUUUGUCAAAAAAUCUCUUGAGAACGUACCAAUAAUAAGAUGGGUGUAUGUUUGAUACCUAAGUAGAUUUGUUGAGAAAAACCUUUUGUGGAAGAAGCUUGGAGCUCUUUUUCCCUGCUGGAGCGGGCGGCUACCGGUUGGCCGUCGCUCACACUUCCUUUCAGUUUUUCCGACCCCUUUCACUAUUCUAUAGAAUUGAAAAAUAUUAUGGAUUUAUGCAUAAACUAUGUACGAAAUCUUAAAAAUUCCAAAAAACGUGUCGUAGGGCUAUCACAUUAAACCCCAAGCCCAAAAAGGUCCACAUGGAAGUAACCAAGUAUCGGAUGAAUAGAUGUCCACAAAAAUGGUGGGGCAUUGGGCAUGCAUGUAUGCCGCCCACCUACUUCUUAAAAUUCACCUGCCAGUCUUGCCUUCUCCACCCACCUAACCUACUACACUUGUGGUCGUAUUGCUACCUUUAGUGUUUGCUUUGGUCCUCGUCAUCACUAGCUGCUUCAAUUUUAAACUUGUCAUUUUUUUUUCUAAAUAAAAUUACAUAUACAUAUCAAGAUUAUGGUUACGAAACGAUUUCUAAAAUUUUAAAAUAUAUAUCAAGUUUAAAUCUUGUCAAUAUUUAAAUUUAAUUUAAUUUUAUAUUAAUUUUUUAAUUAUUUAUUAACUUAUUAAUUGAUUCAUUUGCUAGAUUUAAUUUACUGUUUUUUAAUAGGAUGUAACUUGUCCUAGCUAUUAAAAUAUUUUAAACUAAAGGAAAAAAUCAAUUAAGCCAUUGAAAAAAAAAAAAAGAAAGUACUCAAUGAGCUCUUAAACAUUAGAUUUUCCAUUAAUUAAGCUUUUCUUAUUAUUAAAGUCAAUGGUCAAUUGUUAAAGACUAAUAACUACUAUUUUAUCUAUUUUUGGGUUAUUUUCACUAUGUGUACGUCAUGCUAAGAUUGUGCUAUGUGACAAAAUUGAUAUUUUCUAUUUAAAAUAAAAAAUAUAUAUAAAAAAUUAAAAAGUUAUAAAAAUAAAGAAAAUUGCAGAAAUAUAUUAAAAAAAUUCAAAUAACAAAAAAAAAUAUAAAUUACGAAAAAAAAAUUAUGAAAAAAAAUUAGAAACUCUAUAAAAUUAUUAAAAUUUACAAAAUACUAUAAAAAGCAUAGAAACUAUAAAAAAUAAAAAAUAUAUGAAAAAAAUUAUAAAAUCAUUUUUUAUUUACACACUAACCAUUGUUAACAGUACAAUACCUAUUAAAAAUUACAAAAAAAAUUAUUUAAUCCCGAAAGCUAUUUAUUGUGUUGAUCCAUCAUGGACCUCCCCAAAGUAGCAAGGGAGUUUUGAGAUGCAAAUUAAGGUUGGGAAAUGGGUUGAUAUGCCAAAUAAAAUGACAACAGAGACUAUAUAUAUAUAUAUAUCUUUAAAUUUAUCUAGUUCUUUUAAUUUUCUACUUUUUAAUAUUUUCAAUAACUUUUUAAUAUUGUUUUUACUUUUUUUUAUAAUUUUUUGUAAAUUUCAAUUAUUUUAAUUAUAAUUUUGUAUAAAUUAUUUUUAAUAAUUUUAAAUUGAAAAUAUCAAUUUUUGCCUUGGGGGAGUUUAACGUAUUUUUUUAUAUGGCGGAAACAUAAUUAUUAUGAUUAUGUAUGAAUUUGUUUGUUGAUGAAACAUGACACAAACAUGUUUUACUUUAUGUUCCGAGUCUUAAUUAUGUAGUGGUAAUUAGCCACAACUUGCCUUUUUUUUUUUUUUUUUUUUUUUUAUGAUUGGUUUGUCGGCAUACUUUAAGUAAAGGUACUAAAAAAAUAGUUGCCUUUCUCAUCCUUCCCUCCCUUCUCUUGCUUCCACGCAAGUAAAUUGAUACUCUUUCCUCUAAUGUUGUUUACUAUUUUUUUUUAAUUUAUUAAAAAUGCUAUAACAUAUAUUAAAUAAUUAAACAAAUAAAUCAAAGGCUGAGUAAAAAUCAAAUGGUUAAAUACAAGUUUAAGGGCUCAAUUCAACACAGCCUAUUAAUUUAAAGACUUUUUUAGAAUAUUAAAUAUUAAAAUAAUACUAUUAGAAAUUAUAUCUUUCUAUUAAUAAAAAGUGUAGUUACGGACACUAAUGUGACUAAUAAAAAUUUGCACAUGACAUAUCAUAUGGUAAAAUAUUUAAUUUUUAAAAAAAUUACACAUUAAAAAUGAAUUUAAAUAAAAGAAUGUCCAAAUUUAUAUAAAUCUGUACUAAAAUGAAUAUUAUUUGAUCAUUUUCAGUGAUUCAAAUAAUUGGAUAUUCACUAAAAUGUUUCAAAACAAAAAAUAAUAAUAAAUAAAUAAAAAGAGAUGUUGAUGUUGAUUUUCAUAAGAAAUAUAAAUACAAUGAGUAUAUAAAAGAAUUAAUUUUCAGUAACCGAAAGCUUAACAAAUUCAAUUGGUGGGUCUUUUAGGCUUAAUUUUUGGGUUUCAGUGAUGAUGCAUAUAAGGGUGGUGGUGGAGUGGCAUAAAGAGUGGCAGAGAUGAGAAGAUGAAUUUUCUUUUCCUCAAAGUAGAUGGAAAGUCAAAUUUGACUAUACAUAUUUGCCAUAAAUGACGCAUGAUAUUUUUUUUAUCCUAUCAUACAUGUAAUUGAUUAUUUUUACAUUAUUUUUAUAUAUUUUUUAAUUUACUUUUAUAAUUUUUAUAAUAUUCUUAACCAUAUUCAAAAUGAACUAAGAUAAAUGAAUUUAGACAUCUAUUUAUCUAGGUUUAUUUUUGAAUGUGCAUUUGUAUUAAUUUUUAAAAAAAUAUAUGCCCACGUAUUAUGUUAUAUGUCAACUUCUAUCAACCAAAUUAACAUUUAUUAAUAGUCAAAUCGAUCAAUCACAUAUUUCUAAUUAAAUUCUUCUAUCCCUUAAACUAUACAGUGUAUAUGUCUGUGGAUCAUUGCAAGAUGGCGGUAGCUAAUACCUAUAUAACAUUUUGAGUUUUCUCUACUCCUAACAGCUCUUUGAUAUUUGCUUGCAAAAUUUUGGGAAUCAACCAUGCAACUGGUUAGCGAAUGUCACCUUAUUAUUCUCCCCCAUCUUAUUCUAUACGGAUAUCUAAGCAGCUAAAUGACUACAAGAAAGGCAGAUUUUCAACGUCACUUUCUAAGUGAAAUGUCGCUAAGAGGGAGAACUCUUGUCUUUUAGAAUACAUGUCGAUUCUUCUUCCAAUCUUAAAGACUUAUGUAACGUUUGAACCAAAUUUUAAAAACCAUGAAUAUGCCCAAAUUACUCUUAGUUUUACAUAAUUUCCACUCUAAAACCAUGAAUGAUUUUGUGAAUUACAAAUUUUAAAAUUUUAUUUCUUAGAAAAAAAUAUAUUAAAAUU
rnacentral:lncRNA from 1 species